rnacentral:rRNA from 1 species
UCUAGUGAUGAUGGCAAAGAGGUCACACCCGUUCCCAUACCGAACACGGAAGUUAAGCUCUUUAGCGCCGAUGGUAGUUGGGGGCUUCCCCUGUGAGAGUAGGACGUCGCUAGGC